UACGGAGGGAGCUAGCGUUGUUCGGAAUUACUGGGCGUAAAGCGCACGUAGGCGGCUUUGUAAGUUAGAGGUGAAAGCCCGGGGCUCAACCCCGGAAUUGCCUUUAAGACUGCAUCGCUUGAAUCCGGGAGAGGUGAGUGGAAUUCCUAGUGUAGAGGUGAAAUUCGUAGAUAUUAGGAAGAACACCAGUGGCGAAGGCGGCUCACCUGGUCCGGUACUGACGGCUGAGGUGCGAAAGCGUGGGGAGCAAACAGG
rnacentral:rRNA from 1 species